rnacentral:rRNA from 1 species
GACGAACGCUGGCGGCGUGCCUAAUACAUGCAAGUAGAACGCUGAAGGAGGAGCUUGCUUCUCUGGAUGAGUUGCGAACGGGUGAGUAACGCGUAGGUAACCUGCCUGGUAGCGGGGGAUAACUAUUGGAAACGAUAGCUAAUACCGCAUAAUAGUAGAUGUUGCAUGACAUUUGCUUAAAAGGUGCAAUUGCAUCACUACCAGAUGGACCUGCGUUGUAUUAGCUAGUUGGUGGGGUAACGGCUCACCAAGGCGACGAUACAUAGCCGACCUGAGAGGGUGAUCGGCCACACUGGGACUGAGACACGGCCCAGACUCCUACGGGAGGCAGCAGUAGGGAAUCUUCGGCAAUGGAUGGAAGUCUGACCGAGCAACGCCGCGUGAGUGAAGAAGGUUUUCGGAUCGUAAAGCUCUGUUGUAAGAGAAGAACGAGUGUGAGAGUGGAAAGUUCACACUGUGACGGUAUCUUACCAGAAAGGGACGGCUAACUACGUG